rnacentral:lncRNA from 1 species
GGAGCUUAUAAUUUAGUAGACACAUAAGCCACAAACAGAAGCCAGCUCUGUGUCAGGCCCCAUGAGAAGUCCGCAGGUGCGAUCUUCAAUUUAGAGACUGUACAGGAAGGAUGGCUGGGGAGGCCUCAGGAAACUUACAAUCACAGCGGAAGGCAAAGAGGAAGCAGGCAGCGGCUUCGUGGCAGGAGCAGGAGGAAGGCGGUGGGGAGGUGCUACAUACUUUUAAACAACUGGAUCUUGUGAGAACUCACUAUCACGAGAACAGCAAGGGGGAAUUCUGCGCCCUGAUCCAGUCACCUCCCACCAGGCUCCUCCUCCAACAGUGGGGAUUACAAUUCGACAUGAGAUUUGAGUGGGGACACAAAUCCAAACCAUAUCAGUGUCAUUAAAAAAAUAGUUGCCCUGCUAACUUUUUUAAUCCCCUGUAACUCUAAAUAAAAUAAUGAUGUGAACAUAACA